UACGAAGGGGGCAAGCGUUGUUCGGAAUUAUUGGGCGUAAAGAGCGUGUAGGCGGUUUGGUAGGUCCGUUGUGAAAACUCGAGGCUCAACCUCGAGACGCCGAUGGAAACCAUCAGACUAGAGUCCGGAAGAGGAGAGUGGAAUUCCUGGUGUAGCGGUGAAAUGCGCAGAUAUCAGGAAGAACACCCGUGGCUAAGGCGGCUCUCUAGUACGGUACUGACGCUGAGACACGAAAGCCAGGGUAGCGAACGGG
rnacentral:rRNA from 1 species